rnacentral:rRNA from 1 species
ACGCUGGCGGCAGGCCUAACACAUGCAAGUCGAGCGGCAGCACAGGUACUUGUACCGGGUGGCGAGCGGCGGACGGGUGAGUAAUGCCUAGGAAUCUGCCUGGUAGUGGGGGAUAACGCUCGGAAACGGACGCUAAUACCGCAUACGUCCUACGGGAGAAAGCAGGGGACCUUCGGGCCUUGCGCUAUCAGAUGAGCCUAGGUCGGAUUAGCUAGUUGGUGAGGUAAUGGCUCACCAAGGCGACGAUCCGUAACUGGUCUGAGAGGAUGAUCAGUCACACUGGAACUGAGACACGGUCCAGACUCCCACGGGAGGCAGCAGUGGGGAAUAUUGGACAAUGGGCGAAAGCCUGAUCCAGCCAUGCCGCGUGUGUGAAGAAGGUCUUCGGAUUGUAAAGCACUUUAAGUUGGGAGGAAGGGCAGUUACCUAAUACGUGAUUGUUUUGACGUUACCGACAGAAUAAGCACCGGCUAACUCUGUGCCCAGCAGCCGCGGUAAUACAGAGGGUGCAAGCGUUAAUCGGAAUUACUGGGCGUAAAGCGCGCGUAGGUGGUUUGUUAAGUUGGAUGUGAAAUCCCCGGGCUCAACCUGGGAACUGCAUUCAAAACUGACUGACUAGAGUGUGGUAGAGGGUGGUGGAAUUUCCUGUGUAGCGGUGAAAUGCGUAGAUAUAGGAAGGAACACCAGUGGCGAAGGCGACCACC